AUUGAACGCUGGCGGGAUGCUUUACACAUGCAAGUCGAACGAGUGGCGGACGGGUGAGUAAUAUAUCGGAACGUGCCCAGUGGCGGGGGAUAACUACUCGAAAGGGUGGCUAAUACCGCAUACUAUCGGAGCGGCCGAUAUCGGAUUAGCUAGUUGGUGGGGUAAAGGCUCACCAAGGCAACGAUCCGUAGCUGGUCUGAGAGGACGACCAGCCACACUGGGACUGAGACACGGCCCAGACUCCUACGGGAGGCAGCAGUGGGGAAUAUUGGACAAUGGGGGAAACCCUGAUCCAGCCAUGCCGCGUGUAUGAGAAGGCCUUCGGGUUGUAAAGUACUUUUGGCAGGGAAGCGGUACCUGCAGAAUAAGCACCGGCUAACUACGUGCCAGCAGCCGCGGUAAUAC
rnacentral:rRNA from 1 species